UACGUAGGGGGCAAGCGUUGUCCGGAUUUACUGGGCGUAAAGCGCGCGUAGGCGGGAGGUGAAGUCCGGUGGGAAAGCCCACGGCUCAACCGUGGAAGAACGCUGGAAACUCACCUUCUUGAGGGCGGCAGAGGGAAGUGGAAUUGCUGGUGUAGCGGUGAAAUGCGCAGAUAUCAGGAAGAACACCAAUGGCGAAAGCAGCUUUCUGGGACGGUACUGACGCUGAGACGCGAAAGCGUGGGGAGCGAACAGG
rnacentral:rRNA from 1 species